rnacentral:lncRNA from 1 species
GUGUUGAAUGAAGGAGGGUCAACUUGGAGGGGGUUUGAGAUUGGAAUAUAAUGGUGGCAUUGAGUAAUGUUAGGGGUGACCUGAUGAAUUUGUAGAGGUGUGGGGGUGCUGUAAUUUUUUUUUCUUUGUUUGGAUUUUGGAGGCUAGAAAAACAGGAUGAUCAAUUAUUAGUCCUGUUUUUUUUUUUUUUAAGGUCAGGGUUUUUGGGUAAACUUAGAGGUUGUGAUGGCUUCUGUGGGAAUUGAGUUUUAGAGUUUCUGUGUUGUAGUUUUAUUUCAAAAUUUCUGGGUUGGGAUUUGGUCUUUUGGCUGUUCACUGUACAAAAAUGUUUGCGGUUGAAGAACCCUGCAAAUUAGCUUUGGGGUUACCUUUUUACUUGUCUAUGGCAGUUGGAUUGGGUUUGAUCGAUGUUUCUCAACCGAAGCUAUGA